rnacentral:rRNA from 1 species
CAAUAGCGUAUAUUAAAGUUGUUGCGGUUAAAAAGCUCGUAGUUGGAUUUCUGCCGAGGACGACCGGUCCGCCCUCCGGGUGAGUAUCUGGCUCGGCCUGGGCAUCUUCUUGGAGAACGUAGCUGCACUUGGCUGUGUGGUGCGGUAUUCAGGACUUUUACUUUGAGGAAAUUAGAGUGUUUCAAGCAGGCACACGCCUUGAAUACAUUAGCAUGGAAUAAUAAGAUAGGACCUCGGUUCUAUUUUGUUGGUUUCUAGAUCUGAGGUAAUGAUUAAUAGGGAUAGUUGGGGGCAUUCGUAUUUAACUGUCAGAGGCGAAAUUCUUGGAUUUGUUAAAGACGGACUACUGCGAAAGCAUUUGCCAAGGAUGUUUUCAUUGA